rnacentral:rRNA from 1 species
GACGAACGCUGGCGGCGUGCUUAACACAUGCAAGUCGAACGAAAAGAGGGAAAGAGCUUGCUCUUUCCGGAAUUGAGUGGCAAACGGGUGAGUAACACGUAAACAACCUGCCUUCAGGAUGGGGACAACAGACGGAAACGACUGCUAACACCGAAUAAGUUCCAAGGGCCGCAUGGCCCAUGGAAGAAAAGGAGGCCUCCACCUGUAAGCUAUCGCCUGAAGAGGGGUUUGCGGCUGAUUAGCCGGUUGGGGGGGUAACGGCCCACCAAGGCGACGGUCAGGAGCCGGGCUGGGAGGAUGGACCGCCACACUGGGAUUGGGACACGGGCCCGACGCCUACGGGGGGCAGCAGGGGGGGAUCUUCCGCCAGAGGCGAAAGCCUGGCGGAGCAACGCCGCGGGGGGGGUGGCGGGCUUCGGGUUGGAAAACUCUGUGAUCCGGGGCGAAAAGGCAGAGUGCGAAGAACAAGCUGCAUUGACGGUACCGGAAAAGCAAGCCCCGGCUAACUACGUG